rnacentral:lncRNA from 1 species
UGAAAGCUUGCAUGGUUGAAAAUAAGAGAGAGAAAUGAAAUAGAAUUUAACAGGGGGCUUAGUCCUAACUCUGUUUCCAAUCAUCUUGGACAUGCAAUUUUUUCCUUUCUUCUAAAUCUAAAUAAAUAAAGUAAAUAAUUUUGAAAUACUAUCAAACUUUCUUUCAUUUACAACAUUGACUAGUAUUACAAUUUAUUUAUUUUAAAAUUUACUUAUAAGUAACUUUUUAAGCCUUCCCAAAUACAUUCUAGAUUCUGAAAGUCAUUGUUUUUGCUUUCCAUUUCAAUCACUAAGUGAACACAAGGAAGGUAGUAUUUCGAGAAGUAAGCAAUCUGUUCAUUUCGUCACUUUUUCUUCUUUUUCUUUUUUAAUAUUUUUUUCUUUUUUGUUUUUCUUUUCUUUUUUCUUUUCUUGUUUUGGUGGGUGGGGAUAUUUGACUCUGUUUACAGUUGUUGUACGUAAAGCAUUGGCAUAGCAAACAUUUAUAAUCAUAAUCAAAUAUAUGACCUGUUAAGAGAUGGAACUUCCUAGAUUGUUAGUAAUUCUAUUUUCAGGAAUGACAUCCACAAAUGUAUGGCAGAUUCAAAAAAUAAACCAGCUAUAUUUUCAUUAAUUAUGGUCGCUUUUUUCUUUUCUUGUUUUGGUGGGUGGGGAUAUUUGACUCUGUUUACAGUUGUUGUACGUAAAGCAUUGGCAUAGCAAACAUUUAUAAUCAUAAUCAAAUAUAUGACCUGUUAAGAGAUGGAACUUCCUAGAUUGUUAGUAAUUCUAUUUUCAGGAAUGACAUCCACAAAUGUAUGGCAGAUUCAAAAAAUAAACCAGCAAUAUUUUCAUUAAUUAUGGUCAUGUAAUUUUAUGAUUGACUUGUAAAAAAUAAAAAAACUAAAUUGAGCAGAAUGUUAGAUGCUAAGGACUUAAUCACGAAGAUUGUUGGCAUCUUACAUAGACACACAAUGGAAGAGGGAGCAGCUCGCUAGACCCAAUGCUUUUGUUGGCUUUAUUCCUUUUUGUUCUGUGACUACUGCAUAUUAG